AUGGCUUUAAAAUCGCCAGGUUUACUCGCUUUACAAACUCAACUAAUGGCUUUAAAAUCGCCAGGUUUACUCGCUUUUCAAACUCAACUAAUCGCUUUAAAAUCACCAGGUUUACUCGCUUUACAAACUCAACUAAUGGCUUUAAAAUCGCCAGGUUUACUCGCUUUUCAAACUCAACUAAUCUCUUUAAAAUCGCCAGGUUUACUUGCUUUACAAACUCAACUAAUCGCUUUAAAAUCGCCAGGUUUACUCGCUUUACAAACUCAACUAAUGGCUUUAAAAUCGCCAGGUUUACUCGCUUUACAAACUCAACUAAUCGAUUUAAAAGCGCCAGGUUUACUCGCUUUUCAAACUCAAUUAAUCGAUUUAAAAUCGCCAGGUUUACUCGCUUUACAAACUCAACUAAUCGCUUUAAAAUCGCCAGGUUUACUCGCUUUACAAACUCAACUAAUCUCUUUAAAAUCGCCAGGUUUACUCGCUUUACAAACUCAACUAAUCGAUUUAAAAGCGCCAGGUUUACUCGCUUUACAAACUCAACUAAUCGCUUUAAAAUCGCCAGGUUUACUCGCUUUACAAACUCAACUAAUCCCUUUAAAAUCGGCAGGUUUACUCGCUUUACAAACUCAACUAAUCUCUUUAAAAUCUCCAGGUUUACUUGCUUUACAAACUCAACUAAUCUCUUUAAAAUCGCCAGGUUUACUCGCUUUACAAACUCAACUAAUCGCUUUAAAAACGCCAGGUUUACUCGCUUUACAAACUCAACUAAUCUCUUUAAAAUCGCCAGGUUUACUCGCUUUACAAACUCAACUAAUCGCUUUAAAAACGCAAGGUUUACUCGCUUUACAAACUCAACUAAUCUCUUUAAAAUCGCCAGGUUUACUCGCUUUACAAACUCAACUAAUCUCUUUAAAAUCGCCAGGUUUACUCGCUUUACAAACUCAACUAAUCUCUUUAAAAUCGCCAGGUUUACUCGCUUUACAAACUCAACUAAUCGCUUUAAAAUCGCCAGGUUUACUCACUUUUCAAACUCAACUAAUCGCUUUAAAAUCGCCAGGUUUACUCGCUUUACAAACUCAACUAAUCGCUUUAAAAUCGCCAGGUUUACUCGCUUUACAAACUCAACUAAUCGCUUUAAAAUCGCCAGGUUUACUCGCUUUUCAAACUCAACUAAUCGCUUUAAAAUCGCCAGGUUUACUCGCUUUACAAACUCAACUAAUCGCUUUAAAAUCACCAGGUUUACUCGCUUUACAAACUCAACUAAUCGCUUUAAAAUCGCCAGGUUUACUCGCUUUACAAACUCAACUAAUCGCUUUAAAAUCGCCAGGUUUACUCGCUUUACAAACUCAACUAAUCCCUUUAAAAUCGGCAGGUUUACUCGCUUUACAAACUCAACUAAUCUCUUUAAAAUCUCCAGGUUUACUUGCUUUACAAACUCAACUAAUCUCUUUAAAAUCGCCAGGUUUACUCGCUUUACAAACUCAACUAAUCGCUUUAAAAUCACCAGGUUUACUCGCUUUACAAACUCAACUAAUCGCUUUAAAAACGCCAGGUUUACUCGCUUUACAAACUCAACUAAUCGCUUUAAAAUCACCAGGUUUACUCGCUUUACAAACUCAACUAAUCCCUUUAAAAUCGCCAGGUUUACUCGCUUUACAAACUCAACUAAUCGCUUUAAAAACACCAGGUUUACUCGCUUUACAAACUCAACUAAUCGCUUUAAAAACGCCAGGUUUACUCGCUUUACAAACUCAACUAAUCUCUUUAAAAUCUCCAGGUUUACUCGCUUUACAAACUCAACUAAUCGCUUUAAAAACGCAAGGUUUACUCGCUUUACAAACUCAACUAAUCUCUUUAAAAUCGCCAGGUUUACUCGCUUUACAAACUCAACUAAUCUCUUUAAAAUCGCCAGGUUUACUCGCUUUACAAACUCAACUAAUCUCUUUAAAAUCGCCAGGUUUACUCGCUUUACAAACUCAACUAAUCGCUUUAAAAUCGCCAGGUUUACUCGCUUUACAAACUCAACUAAUCGCUUUAAAAUCGCCAGGUUUACUCGCUUUACAAACUCAACUAAUCGCUUUAAAAUCACCAGGUUUACUCACUUUACAAACUCAAUUAAUCGCUUUAAAAGCACCAGGUUUACUCGCUUUACUAACUCAACUAAUCGCUUUAAAAUCGCCAGGUUUACUCACUAUUCAAACUCAACUAAUCGCUUUAAAAUCGGCAGGUUUACUCGCUUUACAAACUCAACUAAUCGCUUUAAAAUCGCCAGGUUUACUCGCUUUACAAACUCAACUAAUCGAUUUAAAAGCGCCAGGUUUACUCGCUUUACAAACUCAACUAAUCGCUUUAAAAAGCGCCAGGUUUACUCGCUUUACAAACUCAACUAAUCGCUUUAAAAUCGCCAGGUUUACUCGCUUUACAAACUCAACUAAUCGCUUUAAAAAUCGCCAGGUUUACUCGCUUUACAAACUCAACUAAUCUCUUUAAAAUCGCCAGGUUUACUCGCUUUACAAACUCAACUAAUCGCUUUAAAAUCGCCAGGUUUACUCGCUUUUCAAACUCAACUAAUCGCUUUAAAAUCGCCAGGUUUACUCGCUUUACAAACUCAACUAAUCGCUUUAAAAUCGCCAGGUUUACUCGCUUUACAAACUCAACUAAUCGCUUUAAAAUCGCCAGGUUUACUCGCUUUACAAACUCAACUAAUCGCUUUAAAAUCGCCAGGUUUACUCGCUUUUCAAACUCAACUAAUCGCUUUAAAAUCGCCAGGUUUACUCGCUUUUCAAACUCAACUAAUCUCUUUAAAAUCGCCAGGUUUACUUGCUUUACAAACUCAACUAAUCGCUUUAAAAUCGCCAGGUUUACUCGCUUUACAAACUCAACUAAUGGCUUUAAAAUCGCCAGGUUUACUCGCUUUACAAACUCAACUAAUCGCUUUAAAAUCGCCAGGUUUACUCGCUUUACAAACUCAACUAAUCGCUUUAAAAUCACCAGGUUUACUCGCUUUUCAAACUCAACUAAUCGCUUUAAAAACGCCAGGUUUAUUCACUUUUCAAACUCAACUAAUCGCUAUAAAAAAGCAAGGUUUACUCGCUUGCUUAAGUUAAUUCAACUAAUUGCAUUUAACAAAGUGAGUUAAUCUGUUUCUUUAAAAUCGUUGAGUUGACUCUACUUCAAAAAGUAAGUAACCCUAUUGCUUUAGAAGUGAUUAGUGGACUUUUAAAAACUGAAUAAAGCUGUUGCCUUUAAAUUAUUAAGUAAAGAAAAUAUGUGCAUAAUUACAAAAAUUAAGUACUUAACACUUAAUAGUUCCGAGUUACAAAGGGUUUACUCACUUUUUAAACUAUCACGUUUUACAGUGUACAGCAAACAGUGUACAGUAAAGUCCCUCGUAGCUUCAUAUGUUCAGCAUCAUUAUUAUCAUUACUGAAAAGAGUUUCAUAUUUUUAAGAAAAUGUAUCUAUAUUUUAACAGUAAUUUCUAUUAAAUAUGUUGUCCUUCUCAACUGCAGGCACUCUAAAUAAACAUAUUAAUUUCUUCCACAUGAAGCAGUAAACCUGUUAAUGGCCGUAUGAGCAGAAGAGAAUCAGGUCAGACUGUUCAGAUGGAUUUGAUCCAUAUAUAUUGUUUGUGCUUAAUCAAAAGCUGAUGACAUGAAUGAAAGGCAUAUUGGUUUGAUUUUAGAAAAGGAACAUUUUAUUUUGUCCUCUUACGUUCAGCUUCAGAUGUUCUCUAGUCUGCCAAACACAUCAGAGCCUGAAUGACAAACAGACGCCGGUGUCACGCAGACGCAUCUCUGCUCUUCCUCUUCCUCGUCUUCUUCUUCUUUAGUUUAGUGUUUGCCGAACAGACGGCAUUAUUUCUGCUUCACAGUCCAGCAGCAGAUUCUUCAGCUGCUCAGCAGAUAAACAGACCGUCUGGAAGAGGAAAACACCAUUUCAACAACACAUUUUUCACUAUAAUCAUUCUUUAAAAAUGUCUUUUCCAUGAUGACAGCACAUAAUGUUUGACUAGAUAUUUUGUAAGAUACUAGUAAUCAGCCUAAAGUGUCAUUUAAAGACUGAACUAGGUUAAUUUUAUGGUCAAUAUUAUUAGCCCCCUUAAGAAUUUCUUUUUUCU
rnacentral:lncRNA from 1 species